ensembl:lncRNA
AGCAUUGCCAACUCCGGAACGCAAUAAAUCAAUAAAUCAAAUCUACUUUAUACAACUCCUUUUACUCCUUUGUCAUUAAGUGCUUUUAAAAGAUACCUUGAUGAGUAAGUUAGGGCGGAGUCAGGACUACUCGCAUAAAAUAUGUGGAUGGAAACGUGGUUAAUGGCACAGUACAAGCUUUCACAGACGAUAUAAGGACAAAAGCAGAGUCAGAUACGAUGUAUAUCCACGCAUAUGGUGUGUACAGACGAUGCCAUUACUAUUUUCACUUCCUGGUCUAGCGCCCAACCGAAGAGGGAUCGAGCGCGAAUACAUACACUACGCGUUUCUGUGGCAGCCUGGGAGCAGGAGAGAUCUACUUUGCUCAAUACAGAUCUAACUUUUACAGACAACUAAUACGUAUCGGAGAACAGGAGAAAGACAUCGGAAACCCUUAGAAGCCAGCUUAGUGAACUAGCACAAGGGGAAGGAAAAGGGAGGCCGUAGUACAUCAUAGACCAGGCUGCUGCUGCUGUACUCGGGGACAGGCUCUCCCUCGGACCCUGGGCUCUACCAGAAAGACAGAAGCAGAGAGGCUGUCCAGGUCCGUGGUGCUGCCAUGGCCUGUGAGGUCGCUGUGUCCCACUGGUGAGGAGGGUCAUCAGAGGACAAGAGACAUGGUGGGACAGAGGCUUGGAGACUGCACUGAAGCUUUCUGUAGUAACCAUGGAAACAGUAUGGAGGAACCUGGCCUGCAUUGUUGUCAUCAUCGUCAUGGUUGCCACCAGGGUUGCAGAAAGUCGGACAGCUGAGAAUUUCACAGAGUCACAAGGUGAGCACUGAUCAGGCCGACUGCUUUUCUCUCCAAAGUUCGACUUAAACGGAAAUGUUUAACUGUGCCAAUGUUUGUCAUGAAUACACAGUCUGGUUGCAUUAUUAUUAAUAUCAUAUUAAUUGGGUAGUUGGUAUUAUUCCCUCUCCUGAACUGUGAAAGUGGUUCAACAUUUCCAGUCCCGGUCCAUCUCUCAGACGGUCCUACAGAGGCCCAGUGAGCAGCUCCAUUCAGUGGGAAGGGCCUCCUCUGAGCUGAGCCACACUCCAUGGCAGUGGUUCUGCUGAGCCUGAACCGUUCCCUCACAAAUCAACUCCAGAGACAGACAGCCACGUGCCCUCCCCCUCAGCUCUUCUCAGCCAGACCAAUCCCCUUUAGGCUUGGACAUAAAUACCCAGAGUGUCCAUGACUUGUCAUUCAGAACAAGGCACUGAUUGUGUAUUUCCUAUGCUUAACCUCUGCACCCUGCGCAGUCAUCUGUUUCCAAUAGUCUGCCACACUGCUUCCUUAAGCAAAGCUCUGGAAGGACACUUCUAACCCCAACAUUAAAACCAUUUCCACUGAUAAUGGAUGGUAAUCGUUUGUAUGAGUUAUCAUUAGUCACAUGUAGGUCGAAGUGGUCUGGUAUAAUUCCUUACAGCUCCACUAUUAGAUCCCUCCAUACUAGUCAUGUCACCCCCAAUGAAUAUUGACUCCUGGUCAAGUGGAACAUGUAAUCCCACUGUGAAUGGUAACCCUUUUUAGUUAUUCCAGAUUAAGACUUUUAACGAAAAACAGGGAAUGAUAAAAUGGGAAAUUUGCUGAGGUCCUGAAAUCUGCCUAUAUAUCCAGUCACAAUUCUUGACAGGCAGUUGAGUAUAUUUGGCUAAAGUCUGUUUAUUUAAAGGAAAACGGGGCAACUAUGCAGACAUUCCAUAGUUAGAGAAUUGUGCUUUUUCAACAUUUUCGAAGAUCUACCUAUUUCCUAGAAAUUCAGGAACAAUGAGGUAAGACAUUGUGUGUGGCGUUAAGCCAUUUAGUUCAGUGUUAUUGAACCAUCGCACGGAGUGUAUGUAGAAAACGCUCUCUGGUUGAGGUGUGACAGGCAAGGCAAGAGUUAGGAGUAGAGGAACUGCUGACAUGGCCCAACUGUGGAGGAGGCAUAUUAACCCUUUCAGCCAGGCAUGGAUGAGUGACUAAAGAGAGGGAGCCCAGCCUCACCACUCUGCCCAGACUAGAGAUGUACAGCUGCAGCGCAUCUGUGGCAGCGAGGGGGGAGAGAGGGAGGAAGGAGCCCUUCUCUGGGAAAGCUACAGUAAAAAGGGCCACUGUUCUCAUUCCCCUCUUUUCUUAAAGAGGCUAAUUGAAGGUUUCUUUCUUCUAAAAGCUAAAAUAAACAGAACCCUGGAUAGUGCUUAAUGGCAGUUUCUUUUAUAAAAGGUAAGCACUCUGCAGACUUUUAUUAUUUUACGGGCCUCUCUUUAACUAGUUGGGUUUCUUGAUGAGUAAUGAUAGCUCCCCCCUUGUCAUUAGAUAAUAGAUCAAAAGAAUUGGAGGAAUGGUUUGUGCACCAGUGGCGUCGAGCUGGGAGCAGCAUUGUAUCAGCUGCACGCCUGGCGUUCUCUUGUGAUAACUUUAGUCCUGUGUGAUGACCUAUGUACGGGUGGUCUCAACCGAAGUAGGGGACCCGGUCGAGGUCCAGAUACCACGCAACCCCAAGCAACACUCGUACCGUAUUUAGCCAACGGCACAACCCUAUUUUCCAUUGUACCAGCCAUAUUUCCCUUUUGAAGUAGCCUGCACAUGUUGACCCAGUGUACUGGGAGGGGGCC